rnacentral:miRNA from 1 species
GGCAAUAUCACGAUGUGCUGUUG